ACUUCCGGGUCGGCCGAGCACACCUGGCGGCGUGGCGGACGCCUGAAGUGUGACAGUGGCGCGCGCCCCCGCCCCAGAACGGGGACUCGAGGGACUUUGCCCACCCCUGCAACAGCCCUCCCGCGCUGUCUCCCGGGCAGGGAGAAGGCUGGGCUCCCCCACCUGCCCCUGGCCGUCAGGUGGCUGUGGAGAAGCGGAGGCGCGGGCGCUCGGCCUUAACGUCCCGGGCUCUGGGGCCAUCCGUGACUCCCACACGCGGAGCACCUGCAGUUUGGGGAGGGAGGGAUCUGGGAGCGAUCGGCCAAAGCCUGGGGCUGCCGAGGAAAUGGCUCUUCGGAAUUAGGGAUCUGAGAGUGUGAGAUUUGACCUUUGUAGGCUGGUGGCGGCUGUGCAAUCUCUAGCUCCACCCACUCCCUCCAAAAGCUUUGUCCUCUGACAGCUCUGCGAAGGUUUUAGCUGAGUAUUUGUGAGCACGUAUUUCUUUUGCAGUAUUUUUAAAAAUCCUCUUGAUCUGAGGCAACUUCGCUGGCUUCCUCCCCAUUCCCUUGGGCAGGUUGAGAGUGUUGGUUCCUGGCCUGACCUCAGAAACUCAGAGAAGCACAGGAUGGGCAUAAACUACUUUAUCCAAAAGGCAGAACUUUGCAAACACAGUCGUAUCUGCUGUGUCUUUUUUGAUGUAAGUAGGAAUGAUGAGUAGGGUGAAGUCACAGGUAAACAACCCAAAACGAAUUUCCAUGCCCUCCCCACGGAUCCUAAAGCAGGGACUGGAGAUGGGGAGAGAGGCUAGAUGUACUUGGAACAAAAUUCACCUUGUAUUUAUUACCUGGGCGCUGGUGUUUUUUGAAAAAAGCAAACAAGAUAACCAUAUUAGUCUGAUGCUGAGACUAUGCCCUAUCUGUAAGAAUCCUUGGGCUGGGCGCGGUGGCUCACCCUUGUAAUCCCAACACUUGGAGGCCAAGGUGGGCGGAUCACCUGAGGUCAGGAGUUCGAGACCAGCAUGGCCAACAUGGUGAAACCCCGUCUCUACUAAACAUACAAAAAUUAGCUGGGUGUGGUGGUGGGCGCCUGUAAUCCCAGCUACUCAGGAGGCUGAGGCACGAGAAUCCCUUGAACCUAGGAGGCGGAGGUUGCAGCGAGCUGAGAUGUCGCCACUGCACUCCAGCCUGGGCGACAGAGCGAGACUCCGUCUCAAAAGAAAAGAAAAGAAAAGAAAAAAAGGCAGGGCACAGUGGCUCACGCCUGUAAUCCUAGCACUUUGGGAGGCCGAGGCAGGCAGAUCGCUUGAGGUCAGGAAUUCCAGACCAGCCUGGCCAACAUGGUGAAAACCUGUCUCUACUAAAAAUACAAAAAUUAGCUGGGUAUGGUGGCGCACGCCUGUAAUCCGAGCUACUAGGGAGGCUGAGACAGGAGAAUCGCUUGUACCUGGGAGGUGGAGGUUGCAAUGAGCUGAGAUCGUGCCAUUGCACUCCAGCAGCCUGGACAACAGAGCAAUACUUGGUCUAAAAAAAAAAAAAAGAAAGAAAUGCAACGUAGGUCUCUCACGAAAUUAGCCCAAAUCUUCAGCCAUCUUCUACAGGCUGUGAAACCAGGAGAGGAAUUGAGUCCAUCUUACCUUGACCUCCCAGGCAGGGAGCGGACCAGGUAAUUUUUGGGUGACAAUACAACUAUUCUGUUAAUGCACCUUUUUCUUGAGGUAAGUUCUAAUGUGAUCCGUUUUGGUUACAGCUUUCUAUAACAGAAUAUUUUAUUCUUUCAUCUUUAAUGUUUCUCUAGUUUUCUCUUUUAGGAUUUAGAGAUCAUUCAGUCUCAUCUCAAAUAUUUCAAUUUCCAUGUGGUUCUUUCAUAAACAUUUAUCCACAGUGAGCCUGCCCUGCAUUCUUUGGGUGUGGCUGACAGUUGCAGCCACCCUCAGGUCUGCGGGGGUGGGUGUGUUGCCCCUGAACUGCAAUAGCAGAAUUUCUCCCUAGCCUGGCAGGGGAGUGCAAUCGUGGACUUGCUUUUCCACCCGCUGGGGUUGCAUUUCAUAGGUGCCGAGUGCCUGGGGGGCCCAGGCCUUUUCACAUGAGGGUUUUCAGCCCAGAUGUCCCUCCUGCUCUAGGGGAACCCUUCACAUCAGUCAGGUGACUUGCUGGACUGGUAGAGCCUCUGCCAUCAGCCUCUGAUGCAAAACCUUUUCUCAGGUGUCUGUGCGGUCCAUGGAGACCCGAGUUCCCAGGUUUGGGAGGGAUGCCACUUUCCUUAGGAAGAACAGCAAUGUAUGUCGUCCUUCCCAUCCAUGCAGAUGGGACAGGGCUCUCAGGAAAUCUGCCAUUAGCAUCGCCCUAGAAGAUGCACAGGCAGAGGCAGCUGCUGGGCACAGGCACUUGGGGAAGACAGGAGCCAUGACGCCACGCCACCUGUUGGUACCCAAAGGAAGUGGCUCUUUUGGCUGCUUGGCACCAUUCUUAUGACCCUUCCAUUUUGUUUCUAGUCUCAGAAGGGGUGGAGAAAGUCAUCCUUCCUAAAUGGUGUUGACUCUCAGACAUCUGACCGUGCCAGGAGAAUGGCUGUGCAAGGCGGCAGCCCAGGCCCGGGCAGGUGGCGGCCAGGAGUUGGGACCACAGAGGGCACUAGCAAGAGCAGCAGCUGCUCCGAGAUGCUUUGGCACAAGUCAGGAUACGUAUUUUGUAGUUUUCUCUUGUUUUUUAUUUUUCUGAGGUGGAGUCUCACUCUGUCGCCCAGGCUGGAGUGCAGUGGUGCAAUCUCAGCUCACUGCA
rnacentral:lncRNA from 1 species